CCAUGGUGAUAUCUGGAACACCAGCCUUCUUCACGUGGAGCGUCAGGGGAGUGUCUGAAACGCCUUUGCCAGAACCUGCAACAUGAGUUUACACAAGUACUUAUCAAAAUCAUGACCUCCAUAGGGACGUCUAUACAAGUAGCUAGCUCGUUUUAGAUGUGGAAUACAUCAGAUAAGUUUGCAUUUUCAAAGUCUUGCAAGUUUAAACUGAACAUAUUAAGCAGUAUGGAAGGGAGAAGUCAGAACGUACCAGCAAUCACAUCAGUUGCAGCACAAAUCGCUUCAGCAAUGUGUGCCUCAUCAGUAUGAAUAGUAGUGUCAUUAUACUCAAGCCAGAUCUCAGGGUCAGGGCUUAAACUUCGCUGAAGCCGCAUCACAAGAGGAACCCUAGUGCAGAUUCCUUGCCCACGAGGCAAACUGAUUCCGGCCAAGGACUCAAGAACACUUGACUUCCCUGAAGACUGAUCUCCAACCACAACAAUGGUGGGAAGCUGGAUCCCUUCUCUCAUCACGUUCAGGUUCCUUAGCUUGUCCACAGUGUCAAGCAACGGCCUGAUCCGGUCAUUGUAAGAAGAUAUAAUCGGUGCUUCAAUGGGAACAGCAUCUUUGUUGGCAUGAGGAUUCGCCUGGGCAACAGCAAGAGAAGGACAGGCUCUAGUGACAACAUGCUUCUUUGUACUUUUCAUUUUCUUCUUUGAGAGAAUACAAGAGUGAGAUAGAGAGUGCAAAGACAAGUUUAAGCGUAAGUGAGUUCUCUACUAGGAGAUGUGCGAAUACAGAGAUAGAGAUAUUAAAAGAAGUACUCGUGUAUGGAUAUAAAAGAAGUGAUCAUUACACCUACAUAGCU